rnacentral:rRNA from 1 species
UAGCCUUUAGCAAUAUAAGUAUUAAAGGUCCUGCCUGCCCAGUGAAAAUUUUAAACGGCCGCGGUAUUCUAACCGUGCAAAGGUAGCGUAAUCACUUGUCUUCUAAAUAAAGACCAGUAUGAACGGCUAAAUGAGGACAAAUCUGUCUCCUAUAACUAAUCAGUGAAACUGAUCUCCCAGUCCAAAAGCUGGAAUAUUUACAUUAGACGAGAAGACCCUGUGGAGCUUUAAAUUUACCUAGUAGAACACAACUAGUGCAAAUUUUAAGUUGGGGCGACUUCGGAACAAAACAAAACUUCCGAGCGCAGAACCAUCAGUUCUUACAAAGGCGAACACGCCAAAAAUUGACCCGGUCACACCGAUCAACGAACCAAGUUACCCCAGGGAUAACAGCGCCAUCCUCUUCAAGAGUCCAUAUCGACAAGAGGGUUUACGACCUCGAUGUUGGAUCAGGGCACCCCAAUGGUGCAACCGCUAUUAAAGGUUCGUUUGUUCAACGAUUAACAGCC